rnacentral:lncRNA from 1 species
UUUUUUUUUUUUUUUUUUUUUUUUAUUGGCUGCAUCUGAAGCAUAUGGAAGUUCCUGGGCCAGGAAUCGAAUCCAAACCACAGCUGCUACUUACAGCACAGCUGAAGCAACACUGGAUCCAUAACCUGCUAGGCCACAGUGGGAACUCUAUCUCUGUUUUUUUGAUGAUGGCCAUUCUAUCAGGCUGUGAUAAUAUCUCAUUGUGGUUUUGAUUUGCGUUUCCCUAAUAAUUAGUGAUUUUGAGCAUCUUUACUUGUUGCCGAGACCAGCUCAGCAGGAUGGGGCUGAAGAACGGGUGCGGUGAAACUUAAGGAAAAAAGUUAACAUAAAGCAAGACACAGAGGCAUUUAUCUUAAGUAAAGGUGGGAACCGGGGGACUCGAGGUCUCAGGGACCAAGAGCCCCGCCUCAAGAAACCCCACUGCUUUUCUGGUGCUCUUGAGGAUGAGGCCAAGUGAGGAGGGGCUCUGGGUGGAGGAUCUAGGGUGUUUUUUUUUAUUAUGUCAUAAGUUCUUUUAUUAUUUUAAAAGUCACUUAGCUGGUAGAUGGUUAAGCUUUUACUCGGACCUUUAGGCACUUAACAGUCAUUAGCAUUUGAAUUAGCUAUGCAGAGCCUUCCAGAGAAUCCUCCCUGUGCUUCCGCAGAGGGCUUGCCUGAUUGCAGCAACCCGCUGUGCCUAGGUCUGCACCUUGGUUCUCUUUGCUGCUGCAUACUCUGCUAAGGACCGCUCAAAACCCCUUGGGGCCAUGAGGUUCCUCUUUCUCUUAUUCCUUAGAGGACAUGUCGUGCUUGUGCAAACGGCGUGCCAAUCUGCACAGGUCCCGCGUGCCCAGACCAAGGCAUCAGGUCCUCAUUCAGCUGACCCUAUGAACAGCUUAUGCCUUUAGGUCUUUGUGCUUAAGCUUAAGUCACUUAGCAGCACUGUGACUGUUGUUCAAGCAGGAAGAUGGGGUAGAGUAAAGCAGGACAAGACGGAGUUUUCAGCAAAGAGGCUGAGAAAAUACGGCAGAAACAUGUCUCGCGACACUAUGUACCUGUUGGCCACUUGAAUAUUUUCUUGGAACAUAUGUCUAUUCAGAUUCUUUGCCCAUUUUUAUUUUUUAUUUUUGGCUCUUUAGAGCUGUACCCAUGGCAUAUGGAGGUUCCCAGGCUAGGGGUCAAAUCGGAGCUGUAGCUGCUGGCCUGCACCACAGCCACCGCAGAUCGAAGCUGCAUCUGUGACCUACACCACAGCUCAGGGCAACGUUGGAUCUUUCCCCCACUGGGCAAGUCCAGGGAUCAAACCUGAGUCCUCCCGGAUACUAGUCGGAUUCGUUACUCCUGAGCCACAGCAGGAUGUCCCCUUUGCCCAUUGUUAAGUUGGAUUAUUUGUUUUUCUGCUUGAGCUGUAUGAGGUUUUUUUAAAACAAUAUUUUGGAUAUUAAUCCCUUACCAGAUACACGAUUUCCAUGUCCUAGGGGUCUAAUCGGAGCUGCAGCUGCCAGCCAACAGCACAGCCACAGCAAUGCUGUGACCUACACCACAGCUCCGGCAACGCCAGAUCCUUAACCCACUGAGCGAGGCCAGGGAUCGAACCUGCCA